rnacentral:rRNA from 1 species
UGCCAGCCGCCGCGGUAAUACAUAGGGGUCAAGCGUUGUUCGGAAUCACUGGGCGUAAAGCGUGUGUAGGUGGUUGAAAAAGUUAGUGGUGAAAUCCCAGAGCUUAACUCUGGAACUGCCAUCAAAACUUUUCAGCUAGAGUAUGAUAGAGGAAAGCAGAAUUUCUAGUGUAGAGGUGAAAUUCGUAGAUAUUAGAAAGAGUACCAAUUGCGAAGGCAGCUUUCUGGAUCAUUACUGACACUGAGGAACGAAAGCAUGGGUAGCGAAGAGGAUUAGAUA